CUUCUCGCUAGGAGGAAAUAAACCUGCACUUUCAAAUGCUUAAGUUGCCUCUCGUAAGAGCCCUUACUUUGAAGUAGUUUCCCCCCGUACAAUUAAGUAAUGAAGAAACCGACCGAUACAGAGCUAAUUCCGAAUGACGGAUGCUUGAUUUUCCCUGACAUUCGGAGCUCUGUAACUAUGCUCUUCCUUUGACCGGAGUUUUUCUCUAUUGCCGAGUAGUGUUACUUCCCCCUUCUAAUGCUCCUUUUUCUAAUCAUCAACUUUUUAUUUGAAGAUGAGAUGAAGAACAAAGCCCAUAUGAGUCAUUAAAUAUUUCUGAAUUCUCUUGUGAUAGGUCAAAAAAUUGAGGAAGACAUAAUUAGCAGCUGAAGAAUGACUCAGAUCAUCAGUAGUGAAUAAGAAUGAUUAGGGGGAAAGGGAACAUGUGUUUAAUACAUGAAGGAACGUGUCAGAGAGAUUAAGAACUUGCCCAUGGUGACACAGCAGAGAGACAGUUUAAUCAGUCCGUGACCAAAAUCAAACAGAGUAAACUGUGUCAUCAUGGAGAUCUGCCCAGGAAAUCCCCAAAAUACAGAAGGAUCAGAAGUAGAUGGAAAUAAUGUCAUAGAACGUCUCUCACAACUGUGUUAUAAGAAUGACAGGGAAGCUACAGGUUACAACAGAUUUGUGAACUCAGCCAAGCACAGUGGUGGCAGGGCCUAGCUGCUACAAAGAAGACAUGUUUUAGACAAAUACUCAUGUGUAUGGGCAAAAAACUCGAGGACUGUAUUUGUGACUAAUUGUGUAACAGGGUAUUUUAGUUCCUGUUCUGUGGAAAGUGUAAAGCAUUCCAACAAAGGGUUUUAAUGUAGAUUUUUUUUUGCACCCAUGCUUUGAUUGCUAAAUGUAAUAGUCAGAUCGUGACGCUGAAUAAAUGUCUUUUUC
rnacentral:lncRNA from 10 species